UUGUAAAUUUUAAAGGAGGUUUUGUAUUUAAUCAAACAUAUGCAGCAUUUCGGAGCAACAUAAGCUUGUGCAUCAUGCUUUAUCCCCACUUUUUCAAUUUUUGUGGAUUUUCUCCAUUUAAACAAAUAUAUAAACAACCGUAUACUCAAUCGUGUCCGGCCCAGAAAUGUCAUUGUUCUAGAUUUUUGGGAAAAACUUGAAAAAUCCAAAAUAUUUGUUAGAAAUUCUCUCAGAUAGUUCACAUUAUUAUGCAACAAAUAGGCACCUAAAAUCAAAAUUGAAUGAAAAAACAUAGAAUGGUUUAUGAAACAAACCACGAUAUAAAAAAUAUUCGAUCGUAUACUCAAUCCUGUCCAUGAUUGUAUAUUUCAUUGAUUUUCACACAAAAAAGCAUUAAAUUGAACCGUCCAAUUAUGCACGAAAACCAUUACAUGGGAUGUGGAUCGUCAAUACAUAUGUACAAAAAAGUCCAUCGCGGCAGUGGGUGUUUAAAAAAUGAAAUUGUUUCUCUUGUCAUUAUCAAAAAAUUCUUACCUUAGAGCAUUCCUGAAAUUUCAACCAAAAAUAUUAUAGAUAUAAAAUAUUUUUUUCCAAAUUUUUUUUUAAAAUAAAGUCCAAGAGAACAGACAUAGAGUUAAAUUGUAUGAUUAUAAAUGCCUAAAAAAUUCUUGCGCACUAAAAAGUGAUUUUAAAAUAUUAUUAGGAUGAUUUCAAUCACUCCUUUAUAAAGGAUGAUGAUCAUCAAAUCUAUUUAUGCUCAUAGAGAAGUUAGUAAUAGUUUUCCACAUUUUUUCCUAUUUCUAUUUUUGAAUAUGUUAUUUGAAUUCAACCGAAUGAAAUUACAUGCGAUAGUAGUUGGUCUAAGUGCCAGCUCCGAGUCAAUUUAUCAGAGUAGAAGUAAUCGCAGUCGAAAUUCAAUACGCCACCGUCCGCAUCGUGUAUCAUCUCGCCGUAAUAAAGAAAAUGGAUCUGGAAGCUGUCGCAGAAAAAACAGUUCGAAAAAAGCGAGCGCAAAUAACGAUAUUGUUAAGAAUUCUAGUAGUUCAAUCAAAGUUACCGGCAGCAAUAAUCCGAAUGAUGAAAAAGUACUAAAAGUUAGUUUUGACAAAAAUAGUCCUCUAAUGGAUAGUGCACAGAAGUCACACUUGGUAUCGCUCAGGGAGACACCGUCCGUCAAAGUGUCUCCAACAACCAAAAGCCAGCACUCAAUGCUAAUGAAACAGGAACAGAUCAAUCAAUCGCAUUCACAUCAAUCAUAGAUAAAGGCACAGGGAUAGCACUACACUAACAAUAACACUAUUUGCAAACUAAAGAGCGUCCAAACAUUGAGAACCAGUGUAGACGCACGCUCGUAGUGCAACGAGCACGGUCGUGGACGCACUUACGUCUCGCUCACAUUGUCAAACAUUGAUUAGUGUCAAACAUUGUCGUUGAAAUGUGUGGCGCUGUUUUUUUGACAGCUACUGGAUGGGACUGCCGGUAUGGAUAAGGGAUAAAGGAACAGGUUACGCCACAAUGAAUUUUAACAACAGUGCUUUUAUGAUUGAAUUGAAUAGGUGAGAAAUCGGAUGACCUCUAAGCUUCAACUUUCAAAUGGGUCGUUUCUGCAGUAUUUCGAAUCAAUUUUAUGUUACAAUUUCAUUUUAUGGACGUGGGGAUCAUCGAGUACUGUUGACGAACAUUCGUUCGCAGAACAUUUUCAAUUUGUUAGUUUGCAAAAGGAAAUUCGUCCGUUCGUCCGCAAAGAACAUUUAAAUUGAUACAACCAAAUUGUUGGCUGUCAAACGUUGUCUCGUUCACACCAACUGUCACACUGACUUGUUUGUGUACGAAUUGCUGUUAGCGCAAACGGGAUGUUGUUCGCAGUAAACUCAGUUUAGAUGUUCGUUCAAUUUUGCCAACGCGUAAAGUAUACGAAUCUUCUGUUGAAACAAUUGAAUUUUUCAGACUAACGUUGUGGACAUAAAGAUGUUAACGGACAAAAUUUUGUUUGACCGUCCGUCCGAUGUACUCCGCAAGAAGUUCGGACGUCCGUUCGAAAUGGCCGAGCUUUUUUCUCGGACGGCCGGACAAACCAGUCGGACGUCCGAACUCUAUGAAUGCACUUCGAAUAGCCGUGUUUUUCUCGCAUGUUCGAACUAACCUUUAGUCAAUCAGAGAUUACUAUGGGAUAUUUUUAUUCAUAUGGGAUAAAAAUAUCGCAUAAAAAUAACAGAUAUUUUUCACGCGUUGUGUUCAACGAAACGCAUAAAUACACAAUAGCGAUUCUGCACACACAGAGUCGCUGUUUUUUCGUUAUACUCUUCACACUUACGUUGAGCUGCGCGGAGCGUGUAUGCACAUGUUUCGCUCACUUCUUUCUUUGAACACUCUUCGUGUGUCAACACAAUGUCUGUGUGUGUAUCGCUUGUGCCGUCGUUUGUAAACGACGUCAAUGAGCUGCGCGAUGUAUGCAUUUAUAUAUUUCGCUCUUUUCUUUCGAUCGACACUCUUCGUACCCAGCUCAUUGACGUCGUUUACAAACGACGACACAAAAAUAUCCCAUAGGUGUCAAUAGAACGGAUUUUGUCCGUCCGUCCUAUUGUGAUUGUUUUUAGGACGGACAAUUUUAUUUCGUUUGUCCGUUUGGGAUUUAGGACGGACGGACGGACAAAAUAUAUCAAAAGGAAAAUUUUUAGAUGGACGGACAAAAAUUUGUCCGUCCUAAUAAUGAUUGGUGUUCAAGUUAUCAUUACCAUAACUGGGUGAUGUGAAUUUGUUAUUAUUGAAUAUUGUAUAGUGAAAAAAAUAAAAUGGAGGCGAUGCGAUUGCUCAUGAAAGAAUGAGAAAAAAUGAACCCAGUGAUCGAGUAGAAAAAGAAGAGGAAAAAAAGAAAUAUUCGUUUGAUGCAAUAGAAAAUUUAUCUCGAUGCGCCAAGUCACGAAACGUUCACAAUACAGUGGAAAGCAAUGAAUCCUGACCGGUGUUCCAUUCAUUUUGUUGCACACUCAAACAAUAGCACACGCGAAGAUUCAUUUUAUUCAAUUUCACUAUUCUUUAUAUUCAUAAAAAGAAAUGCAUAUUUCCAUUACACAAAUUGUUUUUUCAUUUGAAGUACAUACGAAGCUUGUGUUGAAAACUGCUACAACUUUCAUGCAAUUUCCGUCCGUCCUAAAUCUUAAACGGACAAACGAAAUGAAACAGACAGUACAAAACUAAAUUGUCCGCCCUAAAUCCCAAACGAACGGACGAACAUGGGAAAUCCAGUCCGCUGUCCGUCUAAUGUUGAAAUCUGUCACAUUAAAUAAACUUUUUAUUUACAUUUCCCAGUUCGAACGGCCAAAAAUACUCGGACGUCCGAGAAAAAUACGGCUGUUCGAGGUGCCUUCAUAGAGUCCGAGAAAAAAGUUCGGCCACUUCGGACGGAUGUCCGAACUUCUCACGAGCUUCUAUGGACGGACGGACGGCUGAAAAUGCAAUUUUUCUUUGUCUGUCCGUGUCCGUUGACACCUUUAAACGGACGAACAAGGUCGCUUUCUUCGUAUACAAAUACAGGGGAAAGAUUUGACGUAAGACGCCAAGACGCCUCUACGCGUAUAUUGCUCGAAGCUGUCAUCGUACACAUAUUGAACACGAACAUUGUCGUUUACACAAUCGCACUCACACAAAUGAACGCAUCGAUAGUGCCCGCUCAAUAUAUGUACGAUGACUGUUUUGAGUGUCCCUCGCCCAGAGGGCUUCAUAUAUCCUUGGAGCACAGAGAGAUUGCAGAUGGCUUUUGGAAUAUGUCGAAAAGCAACUUUUUUAUAUGGCGGUUUUGAAGUUUGCAACCAUUCAAAAUUACAAAAAAAUUGGACAAAUCGCAACCGCCAUAGAAAAAAAUUGCUCUUUGACGUAUUCCAAACGUCAUCUGCAAUCGUACCAACCUAAUUUCUCUCUGUGAGUUAACAUGUUUCUGGCGCUAGCAUUCUGAAGAAAGUUUACCACAAAAUAUAAUGAAAAUUAUUGUACAAUUACAAAAAACAGGUCAAAUCAUACAUUCAAUGCAAAAACAUUUAUUGCCCUACCUAGCGCGAGCGCUAUAUUUAUUUGCACAUGAAAACAAACUAAUUGACUCAUACAGAGUUAUAAUACAAUAAAAACUCUAUGUAGAAGGAAUUCUGUAGUUCAUUUUGUUCAGUGGCAUUCGAAUUAGGAAGGGCAAUGAAUGCUUCUGCAUAAAACCAUAUUGGUUAAAUCCAAUGGACGGGAUGUCUAUGUGUUUUGGAAAAAUGUUAACAAACUUUUCUAUGCACACCAUUUCUUGUGCAAAUGAUGCGAACAUUUCGUGUUCGUUGGCAUCUAGGAUGAACCUAUGUUUAAAAAUCGAUUCAAUUGGCCUUACUUGUAAAAAAAUUCUUAUGUUUUCCUGUACGGUCAACAAACGAAUUUAUUAUCUACCAAAUUUUUUCAAAUUUUUUGAAUAAAGAACAUUGUAAACCUUAGAACACAAAACCAUUGUAAACCUUAGAGGUAAGUGGAAAAUGGAAUGGUUUUGCCAGAUUGGUCUCAGAAUUAUUUGAAAUUUUUUGAAAUAUUCACUUCCCGAAAUGCCCUUGCCUAUUUUAUAUUUUAAAAAAUACCAUGGAAAACCGAUUCAAGUAAAUUGGGAUAUUCUCAAAAUCUGAAAAUUACCACCAGAGUUCGUUUUGUCACUCUGUCAUUUACAAACAUCAGCGCCAAAACAACCGUUAUGUGUGUAUCCACUCAAA